rnacentral:rRNA from 1 species
CCUACGGGUGGCAGCAGUGGGGAAUAUUGGGCAAUGGGCGCAAGCCUGACCCAGCAACGCCGCGUGAAGGAAGAAGGCUUUCGGGUUGGAAACUUCUUUUAUCAGGGACGAAGCAAGUGACGGUACCGGAGGAAUAAGACACGGCUAAGUAAGUGCCAGCAGCCGCGGUAAGACGUAGGCGGCAAGCGUUAUCCGGAUUUACUGGGUGUAAAGGGCGUGUAGGCGGGACUGCCAGUCAGAUGUGAAAACCACGGGCUCUACCUGUGGCCUGCAUUUGAAACUGUAGUUCUUGAGUACUGGAGAGGCAGACGGAAUUCCUAGUGUAGCGGUGAAAUGCGUAGAUAUUAGGAGGAACACCAGUGGCGAAGGCGGUCUGCUGGCCAGCAACUGACGCUGAGGCGCGAAAGCGUGGGGAGCGAACAGGAUUAGAUACCCGAGUAGUC